rnacentral:rRNA from 1 species
GACGACGCUGGCGGCGUGCCUAACACAUGCAAGUCGGACGGAUCAGGUAUGACAGCUUGCUGUAGUGCCUGGUUAGUGGCGGACGGGUGAGUAACGCGUGAGGACCUACCCUGGAGAGGGGGAUAACGGCUGGAAACGGCUGCUAAUACCCCGUAAGCCUGAGGGUGAAAGGGAGCGAUCUGCUCCGGGGCGGCCUUGCGUCCUAUCAGCUAGUUGGUGGGGUAAUGGCCUACCAAGGCGAAGACGGGUAGCCGGCCUGAGAGGGCGACCGGCCACACUGGAACUGAGACACGGUCCAGACUCCUACGGGAGGCAGCAGUGGGGAAUAUUGGGCAAUGGGGGGAACCCUGACCCAGCGACGCCGCGUGAGGGACGAAGUCCUUCGGGAUGUAAACCUCUGUUGUGGGGGAAGAAGCCAGUGACGGUACCUCACGAGGAAGCCCCGGCAAACUACGUG